UGUGGCCAUAUCACGUUGAAACAGUGGUUCCUGUAUGAUCACCAAAGUUAAGCAAUGUUGAGCCUGGUUAGUACUUAGAUGUGUGACUAUUUGGGAAUACCUAGUGUUGUAAG